UGAACGCUGGCGGCAGGCCUAACACAUGCAAGUCGAACGGUAACAGGAAGCAGCUUGCUGCUUCGCUGACGAGUGGCGGACGGGUGAGUAAUGUCUGGGAAACUGCCUGAUGGAGGGGGAUAACUACUGGAAACGGUAGCUAAUACCGCAUAACGUCGCAAGACCAAAGAGGGGGACCUUAGGGCCUCUUGCCAUCGGAUGUGCCCAGAUGGGAUUAGCUAGUAGGUGGGGUAACGGCUCACCUAGGCGACGAUCCCUAGCUGGUCUGAGAGGAUGACCAGCCACACUGGAACUGAGACACGGUCCAGACUCCUACGGGAGGCAGCAGUGGGGAAUAUUGCACAAUGGGCGCAAGCCUGAUGCAGCCAUGCCGCGUGUAUGAAGAAGGCCUUCGGGUUGUAAAGUACUUUCAGCGGGGAGGAAGGGAGUAAAGUUAAUACCUUUGCUCAUUGACGUUACCCGCAGAAGAAGCACCGGCUAACUCCGUG
rnacentral:rRNA from 1 species